UAUAUAAUCACUAUCUAGUAAACAGUUUAUUUUGGAUCAAUCCGUUUGAUUCAUUUUAGAAAACCAAAAUAGUGUUUCAGCAAUAUUCUUGGAAAUUUUGGAAUUUUCUACAAUACCUUUAAAACAAUAUUUUAAAAUUAAAUACGAGGUAUUACCGAAAUUUGUGUUUAAUAAACGAUUAAGUUUCACGGUUUUCCACACCAGUCUUGGGGUACCGCGAUAGGCGCGCUGCCAAUUGUUUUAAAUGGCUGAAGGUAUAAGUGGAGGCGUAUGCUUGCUUUUUAAACUAAAAAAGAAGUAGAACGAAUCUUACAUUACGAUGAGGCGAUGAGCGAACAGUUGGACUUAAUUUUGCGGGCGGACUUCUUUAAUCUUAAUAUAAAAAUUUGAACAUGAGUUACAAAUACACCAAUACAUUUCUAUAUUAUUUGAUUUACCUUUUACCAAACCCGAUUUUCCAUUGAUUUCAUUUUGAGGGUGGACAUCUUUAAUCUAAAGAAAAAAAUGUAAAUCACGACUUCUACCUGUACGUCUUCGUAUGGUGGACCUUUUGUAUUCUGAAAUAGAAGGAAAAUUACACCCAGUGUUUGCCAGUCAGUAACAAAUGUAUCAUAAGGCCUAGGAGAUUAGUGCGGUGGAUACUGCCAACAGUCCAACUUUCACAAUUUCUGAGUAACAAGCGAAAAGCCAAAAAUUUUUGUUAAGAAAAACAGGGUUGCGUGCAGUGUACGCUCCACUGUGGUCUGCUGCUCUGACAACGUUGGCCCAUUUUCAUUCCAAUCAUCUUUGUGUGCAAAAACUGUAAAUAUCUUUACCAAAUAUAAAGUUGAUAUCAUCAUUUCUACAACCAGGAGUGUGCCAAAUACAGGCACUACAGAGACAUACAGACGGACAGAUAUGGCUUAAUCAGUUCAGAAUUUGGCGCCGAGAAUAUACAUACUAUAUUGGUUCUCUAAACGUUCAUUUUGGGUGUUACACAUAUUAUGAAAAAGAAAAAAAACCAAGACUAUAUCCCCAUCGGUAUUAACAAAAAUUGCUGAAAAUAACCUAUGGAAACAAUCCUAUCUAUUUG